rnacentral:misc_RNA from 1 species
GAUGAAGAACGUAGCGAAAUGCGAUAAGUAAUGUGAAUUGCAGAAUUCAGUGAAUCAUCGAAUCUUUGAACGCACAUUGCGCCCGCCAGUAUUCUGGCGGGCAUGCCUGUUCGAGCGUCAUUACAACCCUCAGGCCCCCGGGCCUGGCGUUGGGGAUCGGCGGAGCCCCCCGUGGGCACACGCCGUCCCCCAAAUGCAGUGGCGGUCCCGCCGCAGCUUCCAUCGCGUAGUAACUAACACCUCGCGACUGGAGAGCGGCGCGGCCACGCCGUAAAACACCCAACUCUUCUGAAGUUGACCUCGAAUCAGGUAGGAAUACCCGCUGAACUUAAGCAUAUCAAUAAGCGGAGGA